CCUCUAAGCUCUGUGACUGGCCAGGGUAGGCCUGAUAAGGAAGAGUCCAUCUCAAGUGGAUACAGCUCCUUAUUCUGCUACGGAACAUCAAAGUUAUGAUUAUGCCUAUUAAUCUUGAGAGAACACAUCAACCAGAUAGCAGACAGAGCUGGCCCAGACACAGGAGGCAUCCAGAUAAUCCACAGCACGCAAGGGACAGUUGACU